AAUUAUAUAACCAUAAUUAGACAGUCUAGAGUAACAUGCUAUUAGGAGAAUGACAGUUCAUAACAGAAACAGCAUUAAAUAAGAAUUAUUAUUUUGCAGACACAAAGCAAUGAGGAGCAGCCUGGAGCAACACAUUUGAUCUUCAGUGGCUUUACAAAGGACCAAGUGAUGGCAGAACUAAAGCCAUAUGCCUCAAAAGAGAAAGGUACAGCAAAGCUCUUCAGAAUGCUAUUCAAUAUAGAAGAGAUUAAAGGCCGCUCAUUGUUUGGUAUGAGGAAAGGGAACAGAGAGUCUGACGCCAGACCUUCUUGUGCAGACAAGGCAAAACUUAAGUUCUUGGAAGAUUGUGCGCUCGAAAAGUUGCCGACAACCUAAAGGACUGAACUCAAACCGUCCAGGAAUAGCAAGAUAAACUGAAGAAAAUAAAUGGACUAAUGUUUUGCUAUUUUUUGAGACAAUAUAUAAUUUCAUAUGGAAACAUUAAAAAGGAUUAUUUUUAAAAUUUGUUUCUUUCCAAUUUAGGGUACAGGGUAGGGUGACUUUCAAGCAGUUUCCAGCUAUUGCCACCCACAAGGUGGAAAAUUUCUGAAAGGGUGAAAAUAGGUGGCAUUUAGUGGAAACUGAAUUUGCCACUAUCUGGUGGCAAAAUGGUGGGAAAGUGUCUAAAUACUCCACCAAUUUUCCACCCUUAUGGUGGCAAAAGGUGGAAAUAAGUGGCAUUUGGUGGAAAAUAAGUUUGCCACUCAAUGGUGGCAUAAUGGUGGAAAUUUGUCUAAAUACUCCACCAAUUUUCCACCAUUAUGGUGGCAAUAAGUGGAAACAAGUGGCAUCUAGUGGAAAAUGAGUUUGCCACCCUAAGGUGGCAUAAUGGUGGCAUUAUGGUGAAAGUUUGUCUAAAUACUCCACCAAUUUUCCACUCAUUGGUGGCAUUUAGUGUAAAAAAGGUGGAAUUAACUGGAAAAUUAUAUAACAUCAGUCCUGCUCAAAUUUUUCACCAUUUUCAUGAUUUGGGUGGCGUUUUGGUGGCAUUAUUGGUGGAAAAUUGUCUAAAUACUCCACCAUUGAAAAGGGUGGCAUUUUAGUGGCAAAUCUAGGGACGGGAUGUG